CACUUCUAAGGAAGGCAGCAGGCGCGCAAAUUACCCAAUCCUGACUCAGGGAGGUAGUAACAAGAAAUAACAAUAAACCGGCUUAUGCCGGUUUAAUUGGAAUGAGUACAAUUUAAACAUCUUAACGAGGAACAAUUGGAGGGCAAGUCUGGUGCCAGCAGCCGCGGUAAUUCCAGCUCCAAUAGCGUAUACUAAAGUUGUUGCAGUUAAAAAGCUCGUAGUUGGAUUUCUGUGGGGACGGAGCGGCCGGCCGCAACACGCGGUUCGAGCUAGCGCUUUCCCUACAUCCUGCCGCGAACCGUGCUACCAUUAAUUUGGUGGCGCCGGGGAUCGGCUCGAUUACUUUGAGAAAAAUAGAGUGUUCAAAGCAGGCCACAUGCCUUGAAUAAGUUAGCAUGGAAUAAUAACUAAGGACUUCGGUUCUAUUUUGUUGGUGUUCGGGACUGAAGUAAUGAUUGAUAGGGACAGUUGGGGCGGUCUGUAUUCCAAAGCGAGAGGUGAAAUUCUUAGACCUUCGGAAGACAAACAGCUGCGAAAGCGUUCCGCAAGGAUGUUCCCUUUGAUCAAGAACGAAAGUUGGGGGAUCGAAGACGAUCAGAUACCGUCGUAGUCUCAACUAUAAACUAUACCAGCUAGGGAUCGGCCAACGUUAUUUCAUACCGACUUGGCCGGCACCUUAUGAGAAAUCAAAGCAUCUGGGUUCCGGGGGGAGUAUGGUCGCAAGGCUGAAACUUAAAGGAAUUGACGGAAGGGCACCACCAGCCGCGGAGCCUGUGGCUUAAUUUGACUCAACACGGGAAAACUUACCAGGUCCAGACAUAGUAAGGAUUGACAGAUUGAUAGCUCUUUCUUGAUUCUGUGGGUGGUGGUGCAUGGCCGUUCUUAGUUGGUGGAGUGAUUUGUCUGGUUAAUUCCGUUAACGAACGAGACCCCAGCCUGCUAAAUAGCGCGCGUGAGCUUUGCUCGCGGCGAGCUUCUUAGAGGGACUCUGAUGCGCGAUAGCACAUGGAAGUUUGGGGCAAUAACAGGUCUGUGAUGCCCUUAGAUGUUCUGGGCCGCACACGGGCUACACUGGCGCCUGCAACGAGCAUAUCAGCUGGCCCGAGAGGGUCUUGGCUAAUCUUUUGAACCGGCGCCGUGCUUGGGAUUGACCUUUGCAAUUGUUGGUCAUGCAACGAGGAAUGCCUUGUAAACGCGAGUCAUCAGCUCGCAUUGAAUACGUCCCUGCCCUUUGUACACACCGCCCGUCGCUCCUACCGAUGAAUGUUCCGAUGAAAUUUUCGGAGAGCACCUGUGAACUUGGCUCUGCCUUGCGAACGGGGGGCUCAAAGUCACUUAAAUCUGAACAUUUCGAGG
rnacentral:rRNA from 1 species